rnacentral:rRNA from 2 species
UACGUAGGAUGCAAGCGUUGUCCGGAAUUAUUGGGCGUAAAGAGCGCGCAGGCGGUCUAUCAAGUCAGAUGUGAAAUGUCCCGGCUUAACCGGGAAGGGUCAUUUGAAACUGGUAGACUAGAGUACAGCAGAGGAUAGCGGAAUUCCCGGUGUAGUGGUGAAAUGCGUAGAUAUCGGGAGGAACACCAGUGGCGAAGGCGGCUAUCUGGGCUGAAACUGACGCUGAGGCGCGAAGGCUAGGGGAGCAAACAGG